rnacentral:rRNA from 1 species
UACGGGGGGGGGCAAGCGUUGUUCGGAAUUACUGGGCGUAAAGGGCUCGUAGGCGGCCAACUAAGUCGGAUGUGAAAUCCCCAGGCUCAACUUGGGAACUGCAUCCGAUACUGGAUGGCUUGAAUUCGGGAGAGGGAUGCAGAAUUCCAGGUGUAGCGGUGAAAUGCGUAGAUAUCUGGAGGAAUACCGGUGGCGAAGGCGGGUCUCUGGGCAGUAACUGACGCUGAGGAGCGAAAGCGUGGGGAGCGAACAGG